AGACUUGUAAUGCCCUAAACAGGAACCUGUCACAAAGAAAUUGUCGUCUGAGGUGCAGGGGAGCUUCAGAACAUUCGACCUGCAAAGCGUUAAUAGGGCUCGAUCUCAUAGCCCCAGUAAUUAUUCUCAGAGCCUUAGACUGGAUAAUGUUUAACUUAUGGAGAGCUACUGCACUACAGGGUUCAAGUAUAAAUGUUCCAUAGUCUAAAAUACUCCUUAUUAGUGCAUUAUAUAGAAGCUUUAAAGAGAAAGGGUGGGCUCCCCACCAAACUCCAGAGAGACAACGCAGUAUAUUUAGGAUCUUCUCACAUUUGGCACUUAUAUAUUUGCAAUGAGAGCUUCCUGUAAGUUUCGAGUCUAAAAUUACCCCAAGAAAUGUUGCUUCACUUUUAACAGGAACUCUAAUAUUAUUAUAAAAUACAGUUACUGAUGGAGGAAGUCUCAUACGUGAAAAUAAGACUAUUAUACUUUUAUGAACUGAAAGGCUUAGAGAGUUAUUGUCCAGCCAGACUUUUAGCAACUGAAGGGAAUAUGUCAUAGUAUCAGAUAUGUUGUCAAUAGAAUUACCUGAGAUAUAUAAGAGUAAAUCAUCUGCAUAUUGGAGUGAGUUAACUUUACCCUUAAGGGAGGCUUCCAGAUCAUGAGAAUAUAUAUUGUAAAGUAAGGGACUCAAAACUGAUCCCUGUGGUAAACCUUUCCAGGCAAUACGGGAUUGAAUUAUAAGGUUGACAUUAUCAUAGGCUGCAGACACAUCUAAGAAUGCUGCUAUCACAGGCUUGUUGUAUGAAAACGCCAAUCUUAAGUCUGUCAUAAAUAUACUGAGACUAUCCAUAGUACCCCUGCCUUUCCUAAAUCCAAACUGGUUUGGAGAUAAUAACCCGUUACUCUCAAUAAACCAUUCUAACCUAUUUUUAACUAAAUGUUCAGAAAUUUUGGAUAUAACUGAAGCUAAUGCAAUUGGUCUGUAUGAUGAUGGAUCAUUAAUCGGUUUGUUAGGCUUAUGUAUUAGGAUAACUUCGUGGAUUUUCCAUGAUGGAGGAAUAUUACCUGAUGUUAAAAUUGAAUUAAUUAAACUGAGAAAAUAAGAAAGGCUGAAGUCAUUUAGGUUUUGAAGAAAAGAAUAUGGAAUUCCAUCACAACCUGGGGCUGAGUCCCUAAGUUUUGAAAGAACCCCUUUGAGUUCUGAAAGGCUAAACGAAAUGAGUGAAUCACUACUUCUGUGCUGGGAGAGGAAAGAAGGCUGUGAGUGAAAAGAAAUAUUAUCUAUAAAUGGCACAUAUGGUGGAGCUAAUUUGUCUAGAAACAAAUCAACUGUACUGCUAUCCAUAAAAUGAGAUCUAGGAGGUUUAAAGGCAGAUCUGAAUCUCCGAAUAUUUUGCCAAACUUCCGAUGGAGAAAUGUCUGGUGAAAUUGAGGCACAAAAAGAUUUCCAGCCAUUGAAUUUUUUUUGCUUUAAUAAUUUACGUGUUUUAGUUAUAAGAUUACUAAGAAUAUUAAAAUUUUGUGUUGUAGAAUUUUCUCUGUAAUUCCUUUCAGAUUUCUUUCUCUCCGCUACAGCCGCAGAACACUCACUGUCCCACCAAGGUGGUGAUGGAAUAUACCCAUUGCCACUUUUAUUUUUAAUUGGAAAAACUUCCUCAGCAGCCUGUAAUAGGGCUUGUGUUAAAGCUUCAGCACAAAAAUGAUUAUUGCUGUCAUUUACUGGAGGUAUGGUUGUUAAAUUUUGUUGAACUUUAUCUCUAAAUAAUGACCAGUUGGCUUCCUUAAGUUUAUAUUUAAGACGGGGAGGAGCCUUUGUCUGUUCUCUAAUUUUUUGAGGAAAUGAUACAAUUACUGGAAAGUGAUCGCUUCCGUAUGAAGACGAUAGAGUCCACCAGUUUAA